rnacentral:lncRNA from 1 species
CUCCUUGAUGACAUUGAGGUUGCAAUCUUUGACAGUAGUUCCAAGCAAGGAGCACGAGGUCAGUAAAUAUGUACUCAGCAGCACUCUUCUGGAAGGAUCCUUACGAUACAACGAAAAAAGCCAUCUAUGCUCACCCGUUCGCACUUCAUGCAGCCGACUGCAUCAUGUACGUAAACUUGUGGCCACGCGUCGACGCCUCGGACAUUUGCGAAUUACUUGUCUUAUGUUUUGUCGAGCUUUGUCAUGCAGCAGCAGUGAAGUCAUAAACGGCUCUAGGCCACAACAUUGUGAGAAGCGGCUAGUUACACAAGCCUACGAGAAAAGUUGGGGCUGAUAGCGUUGUGGUCAUGACAUGAGCAAGUUAUAAGGACACUCUAACUCCUGGUAAAUAUUAAUUUUAUUAUUGUUUUAUUUCAUCUGUACCCAGUUGCAGAAACAGUGAAUGCCUCGUUAAAAAGGGACCUUACACAUGAAGCCACAAUGGUCCUGCAUCGUCGCAGCAGAACCUAAUAUGAUUUGUGUGUAAGUGGACAAAACAGAGCUAACGAAAGCCAAGCAUGAUUUGGCUACCUAAAAGGAAGCAAUGAGGACAUACGUGAUGCUUGUCAGGGUUGCCUAUGCGCUAAAGCCAUCCACUCUGGUACUGUUCUGAUAGUUCCUUAGUCUUGUACUCGCUGAGGCGCACCUUCGGCAUCUUGAAGACGUUGCAACCAUCUUUCUGUGACUGUAACUUUGCCGUACUUCGCAUGCAACUACUACAACCCACAACUGCACGCGCUUCCCCGAUUGCCAGCUCAUCUGGCUGUGACAACAAAACGGGUUGUACCUCAUUGCCACCAUUGGUGCAAGCUCCCUAUAGAAUGCUUCUGUGUCUUGCAUGUAUAUCUGUGACUGAAAAACAUUAUGCAAACUAUGCUCAUCUCACAAAUUGGUUGCAGCACUGUGGAGGCUGCAGGGUGGCUUUGCCAGUAGGAAGGGCGGAAAUUCCUGAAGAUGUGUUCAUCCAUGUUGCAUCAGCUGCUUGGUGUUUUCAUGGCAUCUCUGCACACGUGUUGGGUUGAUCUUAAGCAGAAAACCAGAAGUGGCAGUGGUCUCCAGAAGAGACCAAGGACCCCAAGCUCUCUCUGACACAAGCAGGAAGGACACUGUGGUGCAUUGAAAACUUGCUCCAGUAGUGCAUUGCCAGUGCACUAUGCUGCUGUUUCAUCAAGGAGAAAGGAGGUGACCAGCCCGAGAGGAACUUCAUGCUCUACAGUAUGCCUACGGAGAACACCUCAAGGCGCAUCCAAGCAACGUCCUGGAGGCACAGCGCCACCGGAAUCUCAAUCGCCAUUUGGGGGACCUGCUUAAAGUCCUUAAGAAAUGAUUCCACUGUGAGGCUUUCAAAACGGCAUGAAUAUUAAUUUUAUUCAUUAUAAAGUUUUCAUUUUUAAA